rnacentral:rRNA from 1 species
GAUGAACGCUGGCGGCGUGCUUAACACAUGCACGUCGAACGGUGAAGCCAAGCUUGCUUGGUGGAUCAGUGGCGAACGGGUGAGUAACACGUGAGCAACCUGCCCUGGACUCUGGGAUAAGCGCUGGAAACGGCGUCUAAUACUGGAUAUGAGACGUGAUCGCAUGGUCGUGGUUGGAAAGAUUUUUCGGUCUGGGAUGGGCCCGCGGCCUAUCAGCUUGUUGGUGAGGUAAUGGCUCACCAAGGCGUCGACGGGUAGCCGGCCUGAGAGGGUGACCGGCCACACUGGGACUGAGACACGGCCCAGACUCCUACGGGAGGCAGCAGUGGGGAAUAUUGCACAAUGGGCGGAAGCCUGAUGCAGCAACGCCGCGUGAGGGAUGACGGCCUUCGGGUUGUAAACCUCUUUUAGCAGGGAAGAAGCGAAAGUGACGGUACCUGCAGAAAAAGCGCCGGCUAACUACGUGCCAGCCGCCGCGGUAA